GUCAGCUCCUCCUUUGUUACCUGUUAUAUUGUCUCACAAUAAGAACUUAAGAAAAAGAAUUAUAUAACAUAUAAUUAGACAUGGCCACUAGUUUGUGCCAGUCCAGUUGCAGUUUGGAUCCAAUCCAAUGAUUGAUUUUUUUUUUUCAUUUAUUUUAAAAGAGAAAAAAAAGCCGGUUCCAGUCCGAAUCAAAUGGAAAGAAAACUGUCUGGCUAUGGAUCCAAACCGGACCAUGGUCAGGUCUAUAUCCCACAGUUUAGUCCUUAGAUCUUCCAGUUUACAUGCCAAGAUAAUUCAGACAGCAACCAAAGC
rnacentral:misc_RNA from 1 species